UUUGGCAUACUGUUGUGCAAUUCUGCUACUAUUUGCUUGAAUUAACACAACUUGGUUGUAGACUUGUAGUUAUUUUUUCAGUAUUGAGGUGGCGAAACUUUUGGCGGGGGAUGGGGAUAUGGGUAAAGAGUUGCAACAUAAUUUAUUCUUUUUGUACAGGUCAAUUUUGUCUUGGACGGGCGACAUGAAACACUUUUUGCAAAAAUCUUUUAUGGUAUCUAUUAAAAUUUAGCAUGUUAAGUAUAACCACAGAAAAGUUACUAGUCAUUCUUUGCUUAUUUGUAUAGCUGAACUUUUUUCUCUUUUAACUUGAACUUUUUUUUUUAUUUUUACUAUCUAUUACUGAUUGCUGAAUAAUCAACAAAGCCAAACAGUGAGAUAGCUAAGAAACGUUGCAGGUAGAAAUCUGAAGGCCAUUAGCUCCCUUGUUAGCAAAUUAGCAAUAUUGCAUCUAUUGCACGUCUACACUUAAGGGUGCGUUCCAGGCUUUCAUUGCUACCUGAUUUUUCAGCUAGCAAAGCCGAAGGAACAUGUUGGUGAUCUAUCAUACUUUCUUUUAUUUAAGUGGAAUGCUCAUUUAGGAGGUCUCUAAACAUAACCUGGUUCAUUUGUCAGUGCCUACGUCAAGAAAACCUCUUACUACUUCUAUUGGAAUUGAUCACUUUGUGCGUCCAGUCACUCUUAAAACUAUGCAGGAACUUCUUGGGGAAACCGGUUAAGCUGUUAGUUUUUGGAUCAACAAUACCAAAACUCAAUGUUUUGUUUCUUUGGUAGUCCAUUGUAACAAGAUAUGUUGCAAGCCUUCAUGAAGGUCUCCAGUAGAGGGAUGUAAUUUUCUCUUAUAUGAUUUAAUUGGAGUUAGACUUUUAAAUCUCGCACAUGUAAGACAUUGCCGUUGCAAAUUUCCAGCAAUCUCUAUUCACAUUGUGCUAUAGUAAAAAGCACAUUAUGUUGUAGUAUAAUAAACUAACAAAAUAGUACUGCCAUGAUGUUGAUCAAAAGUUGUUUUUUUUUUGAAUAUUGUAAUUCUGUUUUUUCCUUUCGACUAUUGUAACAUUCUGGAUUAAUAGUAAUAGAUGAAAGGUUGUGAUA